GUGCUUGCUUAGCAGUGCAUAAUAUUAAAUUGAAACGAUACCGAGAAGAUUAGGAUGGCCUAUUGCAAGGAUUACACACAAAAACAGGAAGCAUUUCAUUAAAAA